rnacentral:rRNA from 1 species
ACUUGUUCUUUAAAUGAGGACUAGUAUGAACGGCAUCACGAGGGUUACACUGUCUCCCACCUCUAAUCAGUUAAACUGAUCCCCCCGUGAAGAAGCGGGGAUAUAAAUAUAAGACGAGAAGACCCCAUGGAGCUUUAAACCCAGCACCAAUUAUCUAUAGUCAUACCAUAAAAGCCCGAUAAUACUGGCUGCCGGUUUUAGGUUGGGGUGACCACGGAGUACAACACAACCUCCAUGAUGAAAGGCUCUCCCUUUAAUCCAAGAGUUACAACUCUAAGAAUCAAAAACUGACAUACAUUGACCCAAAUAUUUUGAUCAACGAACCAAGUUACCCUGGGGAUAACAGCGCAAUCCAUUUCAAGAGCUCCUAUCGACAAAUGG